GACAGAGGGGGGCAAGCGUUGCUCGGAAUUACUGGGCGUAAAGGGCGCGUAGGCGGGAUGGCAAGUCGGUCGUGAAAUCCCUCGGCUCAACCGAGGAACGUCGAUCGAUACUGCUGUUCUUGAGGAUUGCAGAGGAGACUGGAAUUCCCGGUGUAGCGGUGAAAUGUGUAGAGAUCGGGGAGGAACACCGGUGGCGAAGGCGGGUUCUGGGCAAUUCCUGACGCUGAGGCGCGAAAGCGUGGGGAGCAAACGG
rnacentral:rRNA from 1 species